UGUAGCUUAGCCAAAAGCAUCUCGCUUACACCGAGAAGACGUCUGUGCGACCCGGAUCAUUUUGA
rnacentral:tRNA from 1 species